rnacentral:lncRNA from 1 species
UGUUAGUAACAUGGAGCAUACUACUACAAACUCAUGCCCUGAUCUGUUUCAGAGUGGUCUGUGGUCGUUUAGAAAUGCCUAGAAUGGAUAUUGGUUUUGGCGGAGUUGCCCACAACACAUUGUGAUUGCCUUACGAUGACCGCAAAGCAAAAUGGUGUUGAUCAUUGGUGUUUGGUCAUUUGGAACUGGCCACAAUGUGUUGUGGCUGUUUUUUUUUUUUUCAGUCGUACAAUUUCAGUGUUUGGCCAUAACAUAUGUACUAAUUAUAAAGUUAUACAUGAGAAUUUUAGUUGGUAGAAAGGUAUUAUUUUUUAAGGGAAAACAUCAGUUGGAUGACAGUAUGAUAAAACAAUGGCUUAUCAUUUUGGAUGAACCAAGUUCAAUUCUGGGCACUACAUCUCCAGUUUUUCAGGAUGUAUCCAGAACUGCCCAUUGAACCCCAUCUUUCAAUCUUUUGGUUGAUUCCAUCAUGGGUGUUGGCCAGUUUUAUAUCUGCAUUUUAGCAAUCAUAUUUGUGUAU